ACCAAACUCCCAAAUCUAUGAGAGUUCAAGAAGGGGUUAAGGAGAGAGAGUGCCCCUAGCUGAGGCUGGAAGGGUGAGAGGGUGUCCAAGAGUGGGAGCAGGUAGCCAGGCAGAGGGGACAGCGUGCACAAAGGCCAGAGGCAGGACAGUGUGCUGGGUUGGGUAGCUAAUAAGAGAUGCAAUAUUUCCAGAACAUCAAGGGCAAAUGGGGUGCGAUGUUUAAUUUCACAUGUCCACUUGGAAGGUGUCUAGGGAUGAGAUGAUCAUUGAACUUGUUGAACUGUGGGUUACGCAGAUUGUUCCCAAGGCUUGAAUAUAGAUACAUAUCCUAUCAGUUCUGUUUGAAGAACCCUGACUGGUACAGGAGGGGGUUGCAGAAGAUGAGGUUGGACAGACGGCAGGGUCCAAGUCCAGACGGGCCUAUGUGCCAUUCAAAGCCAUUCUGAUUUUAUUCUGUGGAAAAUGGGGAGCCAUUGGAGACGUCUGAGCAAGAGAGGAGUCCGACCUUGCAUGUUAAAUCAGGUUUUGGGGGUGUGGUGGGGAUGACGGUAGACCAACAUGUACUGUGGGCGUGCUAUAUGUGAUAAGCACUGUUCUAGAAACUUUAGAUGAGAGAGGUCAAGGCCAGCAGUAGGGAGGCAGGACAAGAUGCCUGGAUGUGUUGGUGUUGGAAAAGAAGCGAAGGCAGAAACAACCUCAGGUCUCCAUCCUGGGCAGCUCCAUGCAGACAGGAUUCUCUUGCCCAGUGUCUGGCCCUAGGGCUGCAUGAUUCUUUAUGGAGUGAAAAAUGAAUGGCUAAAGAGAUACAAACCCUGACACAGUAGGGUUGUGAGUCCAGCAGAAUAUGGUCUCCACGAUCCCGGGGCACGCUGACGUCAGGGAAGGACUGCCCAGCACACCGCGUCUGCAGACAGGCUUCCUGGAGGCUGGGCCGUACUCCACAGCUGCCACUCCUCAUGAAUCUUCUCUGCACGUAAUAUAAGCUCCAGCCCACUUCAGUCGACCGACCGUCUUAACCUGCAGCAUCACAUACUGGUUCCCUGCACUCGUUGCAUCGUAUAGCCCCAAACUCCUGGCCAAACAAUCCAGAGCGAAAGAUUGAUGGGUAAUAAAUAAUCUACGGAGAUAGAGUCCCAGCUGUGUCUCUAAUUUAGUCAUUCUGAACUUUGAAGGAAAAAUGAUAAGCUCUCACCCUUGGAAAAUGUUCAUAAACGUGUGUUCAAAAAUUUCCAUAUAGUGUCAAAGGCUCAUAGGCCUUAUAGAGACCGGUUUAUGAACGCUGUUCCAAAUCCUCUAAAACGUUUACCUGGAUUCAAUUGAAUCAUCAGAGACCAAGGUGCAUAGACAUCAUGGUUUGAUGUCAUUGUGGAAGCACUCUUACUAGAAUGAGUUGAAGUGUUGGUCAUCAGCUACCGGGUAGGGCCAUUCCAAGAUCUCUCCCCGUUGUCCUAUUGAAAAGACGUGGCUGAGAUGAUUAUUCCUCAUGUUAGCUGGCUUCUUCUUUAAAAGAAUCCACAGGAGAAAUUUCUUUCCAGACUCAGUACCAGGAAACCUUGUUCUUUUCCACUGCAAUUAGCUUGUUUUCAUUUGAUGAAUGUCACAACACCCUAAAGCCCAUCAUGCUUCCUUCUCUGCGUGGCCUGUCAGGUAUCUCAGAGCCAAUUCAUGGCCCAAGUGUACACAUUUUUUAAAGAAUAUUGACCCCAUUUGGGUACUAACCUCUUCCAGAAACCAAAUUUUCUCACUUACUGAUUUUUUAAAAUUUUGUAGUAUACUUUUUUUCAUAAAUCCUUUUUGGAACAUGGUGGGACAGAAGUAAAAUAAUUACAGAAUUGUUUUAGUGUUACUACCCUUGCACAGAAAACUGCUCCAUGCUGAACUACUCAGGGGCGUGGCUGGGCAUUACUCCAAGACUUGCAGAGUGCAAAUGCGCCAGCCACAGCCCUCCCGGUCUCCAGAACCACCUUGGUAGCAGCACACAGAACCUCACUCAUGCUCAGAUUUUUUCUUAUAUUCUUUCCUUUCCUUUCUUCUUUAAUCAGACACUUAUCGACUAACUCCUGUGGGCCAGGUACUAUGACAGGUCUUGGGGGGCAGGGUGGGGGUAAAGAAAUGGACAGAGUCUGUGCCCUGGAGGAGCCCAUGGUCCUGGAGGGAAACAGGUAAUUACAGCAAGGUACAGGAUGGUAAGGGUUAUGGGAGAGGCCAGGGAAGCUUCUGCCAAGGAAAUAAAAGCUAAGCUGAGACUCGGCCAAGUGGCCAGGGUGGAGGGCAGGGGAAGAUGGGGAGAGCAUGUGUGUGCACACAGGCACACGUGCACACACAAGGGCACACGCACACUUGAAGAGGGAGCAGACAAAUGAGAGAUGCAGCAGAGAAAUAAGCAGGAGAAGAUUGCUAUGAAAAGCCUUUAGGACUUUAUUCUACAGUCAGUGAGGAACUAUGGAGGAGGAGGGAAGGGUGACCAGAUCUGCACUUUAGAAAGUGCAUUUGGAACGGAAGGAGGGAGAGAAGGCUGGCAAUGGGAGAGCAAGUGAGAGGUAGUUGCAGUAAUCUAAGCAGGAAGCAAUGAAUUAUGGUUAGGGUAGUGAGGAUGGGGACAAGUAAAUGCUUCAAGAAAGACAUUAGGAAAUAGAAGUGACAAGUUUUGCAUUCAU